GCUAAUUUCUCAGUUACAGACCUGCAGUAGUGGAAGGGUGAACUGGAGUUUGGUCUUUUCACCCUCAUGGCAGAGUAAGAAGGAAUGAGAACUCCUUCCCUAGGCCCUGUACCUCCUCCAAGCCCACAGCCUGGCUCUGCACGUAGGAGAAUGUGUGAAUGCUGUAACUCUCGUCCACUUCCAAAGCAGAAGAAUUGAAUCAACUGAAAUGAGGAAAAAUAAAAGAAGAAAAAGAGUGUUUAAGGGGAGACUGCAGCCAGAAGGAAGCUGGGUGCAAGGCCGUGCCUAUUAAUGGAGAUUGCUUCUGCUUCUUAAAAGGACUAUUAUUUGCAACCUCUGCUGCCUCCAGCUAUAGACGAAGGCUAUCCUUGACCUCCCCAGCUUGUUCAGCACCAGACACUAACCAGACACACCUGGAUCCACUGCUGAGUUUUCUGGGUGUCAGACCAUCCUGGAACCAAGAACCUCAAGCAUGUUUCAUCCUCUGGUUUCCCUGAAACUUUUAGUUACACCUUGAAGUUACUGGAAUACAUGUUCUGUUCAAGUAACCAUAUAUAAACUUUUCAUAGAGAUCAGCUGAGACCUCAUGGCAGAAAUCUCAUUUGAUACAACUGGAAAUUACUUCACCUUGGCUCAAACCACAACACAACAGAUACCUUCUCCUCCUUCUCCAGCCCUGCUAGUCUGUCGCUUAGAAAUAUCUUCCAAGAGAUGAUGCUGGUUUUGUACUGAAAGUUGUAUCUUUCAGUCUUUGUUACCUUUAUCACAGAUGCCAA